UGAGCAAUCUGCCCUUCUCAUCGGAAUAAGCGUUGGAAACGACGUCUAAUGCCGAAUACGACCUCCUUUCGCAUGAUCGGAGGUGGAAAGCUCCGGCGGAGAAGGAUGAGCUCGCGGCCUAUCAGCUAGUUGGUGUGGGUAAUGGCCCACCAAGGCGGCGACGGGUAGCCGGCCUGAGAGGGCGACCGGCCACACUGGGACUGAGAUACGGCCCAGACUCCUACGGGAGCAG
rnacentral:rRNA from 1 species